UACGAAGGGGGCUAGCGUUGCUCGGAAUCACUGGGCGUAAAGCGCACGUAGGCGGAUUGCUAAGUCAGGGGUGAAAUCCUGGAGCUCAACUCCAGAACUGCCUUUGAUACUGGCGAUCUCGAGUUCGGGAGAGGUGAGUGGAACUCCGAGUGUAGAGGUGAAAUGCGCAGAUAUCAGGAAGAACACCCGUGGCUAAGGCGGCUCUCUAGUACGGUACUGACGCUGAGACGCGAAAGCGUGGGGGAGCGAACAGG
rnacentral:rRNA from 1 species